CAAGGACCAAGAUUUUGAAGACAAAACUUAAUUAUGUUCCACAGUUAUAUGUCGUUCCAAAAAUAAAACAGUAGAUAUAAAAUGAUUAAUCUCAGAGAGAAGAGGGGUUUUUUGGUACCGGGGAUUGAACUCGUGUCCUUAGCUUGUGAGGCAGGUGGUUGAACCACUGAGCUAAAUCCCUAGCCCAAGAGAAGAGGGGUUUUAAUGGCUCUUCUAGAAUGAGCCAAGUCAAAGUGUCAAACACGAGGACUCUCAGCUUGCAUGAUGAAUUUGAUGAGGACUGGAGAAGUGACUCAGUGAUAGAGCACUUGCGUAACAUACGCAAGGCCUCCUUUCAAACCCCAGGACCAGAACGAGUAGCAGGGAAUGGAUGGUCAAAGUUCUAAGGACCUUUCACCAAAUUCCCCCCCUACAGGCAGCAGGGAUAUAGGGGAAGACUAAAGGGUUGAGAAUUACCUAAGAUUUCUGGGGAACGUCUCAAGCCUUCAGAACACGGAAUGAACUCAGGACCUUGCACUUCUGAAACAGGCACAGCAGCGCUGAGCUAAAUCGCUGGCCCUACCUGGAGGUUUUUGUGUCCACAUGAAAUUGAGAAUAGCCUAGUCCCAUAACCCAGAUAUGUACACAUACAGAAUACAGAUGUUACUAGACCAUGGGUCUCGACGAAUAGUGUUUGCUGAAAUAAAAUUUCCAAAAGAA